rnacentral:rRNA from 1 species
CAGCCGCCGCGGUAAUACGAAGGGGGCUAGCGUUGCUCGGAAUGACUGGGCGUAAAGGGCGCGUAGGCGGCGAUCAAAGUCAGGCGUGAAAUUCCCGGGCUCAACCUGGGGGCUGCGUUUGAUACUUGGUUGCUUGAGUGGGGAAGAGGGUCGUGGAAUUCCCAGUGUAGAGGUGAAAUUCGUAGAUAUUGGGAAGAACACCGGUGGCGAAGGCGGCGACCUGGUCCUUGACUGACGCUGAGGCGCGAAAGCGUGGGGAGCAAACAGGAUUAGAGACCCCCGUAGUCCCUGUCUCUUAUAC